rnacentral:lncRNA from 1 species
AUUUAGGGUAUAUGGUUUAGGUUUAUAGUCUAUUUUUGGGUUUAAGGUAUAUAAUUUGGGUUUAGGAUCUAGGAUUAGGGUUUAGGAUAUAGGGUUUAGGUUUAGGGGUUUGGAUUUGGGUUUAAAAUUUAGGGUAUAUGGUUUAGAAUUUAAGAUUUAGGGUUUAGGGUUUCGCUGAAAGCGUUAGCGUCAUUAAAAUUAGCGUUUUUAUUUUUUGUAG